GAUGAAUGCUGGCGGCGUGCCUAAUACUUGCAAGUCGAGCGAAUGGAUUAAGAGCUUGCUCUUAUGAAGUUAGCGGCGGACGGGUGAGUAACACGUGGGUAACCUGCCCAUAAGACUGGGAUAACUCCGGGAAACCGGGGCUAAUACCGGAUAAUAUUUUGAACUGCAUGGUUCAAAAUUGAAAGGCGGCUUCGGCUGUCACUUAUGGAUGGACCCGCGUCGCAUUAGCUAGUUGGUGAGGUAACGGCUCACCAAGGCAACGAUGCGUAGCCGACCGGGGAGGGGGAUCGGCCACACUGGGACUGAGACACGGCCCCGACUCCUACGGGAGGCAGCAGUAGGGAAUCUUCCGCAAUGGACGAAAGUCUGACGGAGCAACGCCGCGUGAGUGAUGAAGGCUUUCGGGUCGUAAAACUCUGUUGUUAGGGAAGAACAAGUGCUAGUUGAAUAAGCUGGCACCUUGACGGUACCUAACCAGAAAGCCACGGCUAACUACGUGCCAGCCGCCGCCGUAA
rnacentral:rRNA from 1 species